GGAUCCAGACUUUGAUUAUGGCUCAGGAUGAACGCUGGCGGCAUGCCUAAGACAUGCAAGUCGAACGAGAUGUACCAAUGAAGAUUGAGUGCUUGCACAAAGUUGGAUUUGGAUUUGCAUCUAGUGGCAGACGGGUGAGUAACACGUGGGUAACCUACCCUGAAGACUGGGAUAACAGUUAGAAAUGACUGCUAAUACCGGAUGAUUCAUGAGAAGAUAACUUUUCAUGCUAAAAGGAGCGUUUGCUUCACUUCAGGAUGGGCUUGCGGUGUAUUAGCUAGUUGGUGGGGUAAUGGCUCACCAAGGCAACGAUGCAUAUCCGAGCUGAGAGGCUGAUCGGACACACUGGGACUGAGACACGGCCCAGACUCCUACGGGAGACAGCAGUUAGGAAUAUUCGUCAAUGGAGGAAACUCUGAACGAGCAAUGCCGCGUGAGUGAUGAAGGUCUUUAUGAUUGUAAAACUCUGUUGUAAAGGAAGAACAACUAUCAUAGGAAAUGAUGAUAGUCUGACGGUACUUUGCCAGAAAGCCCCGGCUAACUACGUGCCAGCAGCCGCGGUAAUACGUAGGGGGCGAGCGUUAUCCGGAUUUAUUGGGCGUAAAGCGUGUGUAGGCGGUUUAUUAAGUCUAAGAUUAAAGCCUGGGGCUCAACCCCAGUUCGUCUUAGAAACUGGUAGACUUGAGUGUGGUAGAGGCAAGUGGAAUUUCUAGUGUAGCGGUUAAAUGCGUAGAUAUUAGAAGGAACACCAGUGGCGAAGGCGGCUUGCUGGGCCAUUACUGACGCUGAGACACGAAAGCGUGGGGAGCAAAUAGGAUUAGAUACCCUAGUAGUCCACGCCGUAAACGAUGAGUACUAAGUGUCGGGUAACCGGUGCUGAAGCUAACGUAUUAAGUACUCCGCCUGAGUAGUACGGUCGCAAGGCUGCAACUCAAAUGAAUUGACGG
rnacentral:rRNA from 1 species